UACGUAGGGUGCAAGCGUUGUCCGGAAUUAUUGGGCGUAAAGAGCUCGUAGGCGGUCUGUCGCGUCUGCUGUGAAAACUCAGGGCUUAACCCUGAGCUUGCAGUGGGUACGGGCAGACUAGAGUGCGGUAGGGGAGACUGGAAUUCCAGGUGUAGCGGUGAAAUGCGUAGAUAUCUGGAGGAACACCGGUGGCGAAGGCGGCAUCCUGGACCGGCAUUGACGCUGAGGCGCGAAAGCCAGGGGAGCAAACGGG
rnacentral:rRNA from 1 species